GAUGAACGCUGGCGGCGUGCCUAAUACAUGCAAGUCGAGCGAACAGACGAGGAGCUUGCUCCUCUGACGUUAGCGGCGGACGGGUGAGUAACACGUGGAUAACCUACCUAUAAGACUGGGAUAACUUCGGGAAACCGGAGCUAAUACCGGAUAAUAUAUUGAACCGCAUGGUUCAAUAGUGAAAGACGGUUUUGCUGUCACUUAUAGAUGGAUCCGCGCCGCAUUAGCUAGUUGGUAAGGUAACGGCCUACCAAGGCAACGAUGCGUAGCCGACCUGAGAGGGUGAUCGGCCACACUGGAACUGAGACACGGUCCAGACUCCUACGGGAGGCAGCAGUAGGGAAUCUUCCGCAAUGGGCGAAAGCCUGACGGAGCAACGCCGCGUGAGUGAUGAAGGUCUUCGGAUCGUAAAACUCUGUUAUUAGGGAAGAACAAAUGUGUAAGUAACUGUGCACGUCUUGACGGUACCCAAUCAGAAAGCCACGGCUAACUACGUG
rnacentral:rRNA from 1 species